CCUACGGGCGGCAGCAGUAGGGAAUUUUCGGCAAUGGGGGGAACCCUGACCGAGCAACGCCGCGUGAACGAAGAAGUUAUUCGUAAUGUAAAGUUCUUUUAACAGGGAAGAAAGAGAAAUUUGACGGUACCUGAAGAAUAAGCUCCGACUAACUACGUGCCAGCAGCCGCGGUAAUAGGUAGGGAGCGAGCGUUAUCCGGAAUUAUUGGGCGUAAAGGGUGCGUAGAUGGCAUAGUAAGUCUUUUGUAAAAAUGCUGGGCUCAACCCAGUAGGGCAAAAGAUACUGCAAAGCUAGAGUAUGAGAGAGGAAAGUGGAACUACGAGUGUAGCGGUAAAAGGCGUAAAUAUAUGUAAGAACACCAGGGGCGAAGGCGGCUUGCGGGAUGGAUACUGACAUGGAGGCACGAAAGCGUGGGGAGCAAACAGGAUUAGAUACCCGAGUAGUC
rnacentral:rRNA from 1 species